AGCGAACGCUGGCGGCAGGCCUAACACAUGCAAGUCGAGCGCCCCGCAAGGGGAGCGGCAGACGGGAGAGUAACACGUGGGAACGUACCCUUCGGUUCGGAACAACCCAGGGAAACUUGGGCUAAUACCGGAUACGUCCGAAAGGAGAAAGAUUUAUCGCCGAGGGAUCGGCCCGCGUCUGAUUAGCUAGUUGGGGGGGUAAUGGCCCAACAAGGCGGCGAUCAGUAGCUGGUCUGGGAGGAUGAUCAGGCUCACUGGGACUGAGACACGGCCCAGACUCGUACGGGAGGCAGCAGUGGGGAAUAUUGGACAAUGGGCGCAAGCCUGAUCCAGCCAUGCCGCGUGGGUGAUGAAGGCCCUAGGGUUGUAAAGCCCUUUCGGCGGGGAAGAUAAUGACGGUACCCGCAGAAGAAGCCCCGGCUAACUUCGUGCCAGCCGCCGCCGUAAUAC
rnacentral:rRNA from 1 species